rnacentral:lncRNA from 1 species
UGGAGAGACCAAGCCCAGCCAAGGCCCCACUGAUGGCUCCCGGCCUGAGCCCCAGCGUCCACGAAACCGUCCCUACUUCCAGAGGCGUCGGCAGCAGCCCCCUGGCCCCCGGCAGCCUAUAGCUGCGGAGACCUCAGCACCUAUCAACAGUGGGGACCCCCCCACCACCAUACUGGAGUGAUUCCAACUCAGAGGACACCCAGAGCUACCAUCUGGUAUCUGCCAGUUUCCAACUGACUCUACCCAGCAUCCCCCUCCCCCCUUUCCCAUAAUUCAUGACAUCAAAACAUCAGCUUUUCCCUUGAGACUCAGGAGGGCCAAAGCAACAGCCUUUGGCUUUUUUCUCUUUUUUUCCCCUCUCCCCUAGCAUGGGUUGAAGGAAGGGAUCCAUCCUUAUUGUUCAGAGGCAUCACCUCCCUCCCCUAAGUCAGGCUGAGAAGGAACCAGCCAGCUCAUACCUCCUCCUGAUUGUUUUUCUUCCCCACCCAUUUAUUUUUUGUUUCCCUUCGACCUCCCCCCAUCACCUCUGAAGCCAUUUUAUGAACUGUCAUGUGCCACCUGAGCCUCCAGUAAAAACAAAAGCAGGCUUUCUUGUUG